GAGCGAACGGGGAGCAGCCCGGAGUCUGAAUCAGCUUGUGUGUUAGUGGAACGGUCUGGAAAGUCCGACGGUACAGGGUGAUAGUCCCGUACACGAAAACACACUUGCUGUGAACUCGAAGAGUAGGGCGGGACACGUGGUAUCCUGUCUGAAUAUGGGGGGACCAUCCUCCAAGGCUAAAUACUCCUGACUGACCGAUAGUGAACC
rnacentral:rRNA from 1 species